GGGGCUGAUUCUGGAUUCGACGGGAUUUGCGAAACCCAAGGUGCAUGCCGAGGGGCGGUUGGCCUCGUAAAAAGCCGCAAAAAAUAGUCGCAAACGACGAAAACUACGCUUUAGCAGCUUAAUAACCUGCUCUGAGCCCUCUCUCCCUAGCUUCCGCUCUUAAGACGGGGAUCAAAGAGAGGUCAAACCCAAAAGAGAUCGCGUGGAUGCCCUGCCUGGGGUUGAAG
rnacentral:tmRNA from 1 species